UGAGGGAAUUGAACUCCCUGAGCAUCUUCUUCAGUAAAGGUUAUGGGCUCCUCAAUCUUUUGUCGCUUGGGGGGUACGGCCAGUACGUUGGUUGCUUCCUGUCGGGAUCCUCCCGAGAUGGUAUUGGCAAAAUCCAUCAGAGGCCGAUUGUCCGAUCGCUCCAUGCCGGCGACCAUUGUCGGAGGAUGUGAAGGAGGCUGAGAAAUUGGAGGUGAGGUCGGAGCUCAAGAUCUGGCCGUGGAGGCCGUGGAUUGCCGUGUGGAUGCCUUGCGGGGAGGCAUCGGGCAAAGACCAAGUGGAGGA
rnacentral:lncRNA from 1 species